UAGAUCUGGUUUAUUUAUGUAUGUUUAUUCCAAACAUAACCUUAUAAACAAACAGUUGUUUAUUUAGAGUUAUUUAUUAUUGUUUUCUCAUAUUUUGCAAUUGUUAAGUUGGUUUACUUCGAAUUUAAUGUGCAUUACUGUGGUAUUUCUCCAGUUUUCUAAGAAGUUUGGUGAUUUUGAAUUGGGAUUAUGAUGAAUUUAACCCAAAGGCAAUGUGUGUUUAUUUAUGUGGCAAAAUUCCAGGCACCAUAAAAAUUUGAGUUUCUUCCUGUUGCCCAUGGCACAGCCCCAUGGAUGAAAAUCGGUUUGCAGAAUGAAAAGAAAUUGUUCAAUGUGAUAAACUUUCUAUGAACAGUCCUCAGUGUUGUUACAUUAACUUUUAAAUAUGCAUCUUGAGGAGCAGGCCUUUGCAGAAAUACUGAAAAGCGGGUUGCAAAACAACGCAAAAUAAAAUAAACGAAAUAUGUCUUGAGAUUAAACAUUCAAGUUGAAGGUGUGUUCUUUCUUAAACUGGAAUGAUAAUUUUGUAAUUCUGUAGGCACAUCUAUUGAGAAGUUACAACCAGUGGCAAAGUGCCUUAAGGGAAUCUAUGACAUAUAUAAUUGAAGGGACACCUCCUCUGAAGGAAUUACAAUUAUUUGCCAGUAUGUCAAAUGAAUUUUCAACAUCAGUCAUACUUUCAUGAACUUAUUGAUGAAAAUAAAACUAGGUACAUGAUUUAUUAUUUACUUCCAAGGGAUUCUAAGAUACUAUGUGUAAAAAGUCCAAUAUGCAGUGAUGAGCAUGCUAAUAACUGGCAAAAUAUGGGAUAUAACGCCAAAGAUGGGAAACAUGGAAUGCAUUCUGAAGUAAAAAGAGAUGAAACUGAGAGAAAUUAUCGAUAUAAACAUAUAAAUUAACAUUACAUUACAUAGUUUCCCACCUUUAGAGGUAUCAGAUGAGUAUGAGAACUGUCACUGUGCCAGGAGAAUUUUAUAAAAUACUCCUGUCACAGAGAUCUAAAGGUGGGAAACUAUGUAAUGUUAUCGUCGGCUAAGAGUGUUAACCUGCCAACUCCAUUUUUCACUGUGAGUGAUAUUGGGGUAGUUUCUAGGUCUGUGUACC
rnacentral:lncRNA from 1 species